CUCCAGUUUCUCUUCUUGCUCCCUAAUGCUGUGCUUCAAACGGAACAGAACAGAUCACUACAGAUCUUAUGUUUUCAUAUUUAUUUUAGGGUUUUACAGGAUUAAGCAGGAGAAGAUGAGCUGUGAAUGUGCAGAUGCAGAAGGAAGUACAACAUCUUCUAAAUAUAAACUACAUCAAUAUUACUGAGAUUACCAUGCAUGGACAGAACAUGCAUAAGGCUUCAGAGGAAACUGUUUGUGAUUUCCUGCUUCUGCUACAGGAGUUCUCCGCCUCCCUCUGUCCUUGGCUCCCACUUCACAAGUUGUCAAGCAUGUGUAUGUGACAGGGAAGUCACUAUCCUGUUUCUAGAAGAUGGGAAAGACAUAGAGGAUGAAGGAGAGCAAGAGAGAGGAUGGUUCAGAACUCAAGGAAGAUCUGGAAAUAUUCUGCAAAAUGGAUUCUGUGGUAAACUCCUUAGCAAAGGUAAUACUGGGCAAAUCACUGUUGUUUUUCCCUGUGCUUUAACAUACUCAGAAGUGCAUCUUUCAAGACGAAGUACAUAAAAUCUAUUUUCAAAAAUGUUUCAUCUCGGCAACUGUAAUGUUAAAUCAGUGGGAGCCAGAAGUGCUCAAUACCUCUGAAAAUGUGUGUCAAAGUCCCCUUACAUAGAAGGAUUUUUAAUGAGGAUGUUCCAUUUCCCAGAAGAAUCUCCAGCUACAGACUUAUUGGAUAAAAGAGGAGAUUCUUAUUCUCCCAUUAUUUUCUGUUAGGUUAACUAUUUUUGAGAGUACUUUUUGUAUUUUUACUAUAGGUUACAUAAUGGUCCAAACCUUAAUUUUAACCCAGUGAUGGAUGAGAAGUUGGCAAGGGAUCAAUGCUGUUCAGUGCUGUUGAAACACAAUAAUCUGAUGCAUGUUCAGAAGCGGAUGCUUAAGCACCCUCAAAAACACUACAAAUGAGGUUUAGGCAACUCAAGGUUUGAAUGGCAACUGAGCAGAUGGUUCAAGAAUUUUGGACUUGGGGUGUCUAAAGAAACAUUUGUCGUGUAAAAAACACCAAGGGAUAGAAACACAUAUUAACUCCAAAACCAGGACUUACUGGGAUUACUUAUCCUCCUGAAAACUAGGAAUUAGUUGCUCAGGUGGAGUGCUAAUUUUAGAGGGUGCAACUACCAUAUUUUUAUGGCAUUUUGCUCCUUGAUUUAGAAAUAUCAUCCGGGGGUUGGGGCUUGCUUGGGUCUCUUUUCACUGCCUCUGUGUGCAGUACAGGUUACUCUAGGGGACAUUCAGACCCCUGAGCUGCAAUCCUCGAAGAUACCGCAGUGUUUCUUUUCAGCGUCUAGUUCCCACUAUGCUAACUCAGAGUUGGAUAUUAAAUACCUUUGUGUAUCUAGCCCUUAAAUCCUUUUAAGGAUCUAGCCCUUGGAUACAGAGAUGAGCACUAUAAAAAAGCCCAAGAGGAAAUGAAUAAUUCCUUAUUGCAGGGUUUGCAUAGUAGGUAGGCACAUAUUGAAGGAAGAGGAUGAAAAGGAAUAUUGAGCGGCUGCUGCCUCAAUCUCAGCACAAUGACCAUCAUCCUGUACACACAGCAAAGCAAAUAUCCUGUGGGAAAAACAUCACAUUAACACAACAACACAUUAUUACAUGUAAUAAUAUGAUUGCUACCCCUAAUACUUAUUCAUAUCAAGUUAGAAUUUAACCUGAGGUUGGAAUUAACCUGAGCGAGAUUAGUUUAUGGACUGUACAUUUCUUGAUCAUUUGAUACAGCAUAGUUUGGCAUAGCAUUUUUUGUGAUAGAUAACAAGAAUAUUUACAACAAAUAACCAUUUGCUACACUAAUAGCUGCAUGUACUGAAUAAGCAGCCUCAUAGUUCAUUCCAGACAUUUUAGGACCACAGAGACUGCACUGGAAAAUAGUUUAUGUGAUUGUACAAAUGUAUCCUCAGCUUCUUUUCUUCCUCUUCCUUCUACUUAUUUUUCUCAGACAUUUUAAAAAAUUUCUAAUAGUCAGCUUUUUUGAGCUGAAGGGCAGUGCCAAGCAAAUUCAGUCAUUUUCAAAGCCUUAGGGUACUAUUAUAGAACAAAUGAAUAAGUAAGUAUGUAAAGAAUGGAAAAAAGAAAGUUAAUAAAAAAAAUUGUUAAUUUCUGUAGGGUCUGAGC
rnacentral:lncRNA from 1 species